rnacentral:rRNA from 1 species
UUCGAGUGGCGGACGGUGAGUAACGCGUGGGUAACCUGCCUUACACAGGGGGAUAACACCUGGAAACAGGUGCUAAUACCGCAUAAGCGCACAGGGCCGCAUGGCCCGGUGUGAAAAACUCCGGUGGUGUAAGAUGGACCCGCGUCUGAUUAGCUUGUUGGCGGGGUAGAGGCCCACCAAGGCGACGAUCAGUAGCCGGCCUGAGAGGGUGGACGGCCACAUUGGGACUGAGACACGGCCCAAACUCCUACGGGAGGCAGCAG